rnacentral:tRNA from 8 species
GCCGCUAUGGUGGAAUCGGUAGACACG